GCCGUAGACUCACAAUGUCUACAUUACGGGUGAGGAUGACUUCUAGAAUAUGCCAGAAGGCCCUCGAACGGAGUAGACGAGGAGGUGGGAUGGACACAUAGCACUGUCCGGUUGUCUAGGAGUGCAGAGCAUACUAGUUUCAUUGAGGGAACUUUUCUUUCCUUAUCAUUCGUGAGAGGAGAGUUGGGGGUUAUUGUUUUUAUUCAUUAAAUCCUUGUUUGACACGGUCAUUUCUUAUGAGUAAGAUAGUUUUCUUGUAUGAUACUGUACUACAGUUGUUUCCCUUACAGGUGAUGAAUGGGUAGUUUUUUAAAAAAAAGGUUGAGGGAAUAUCUGGGAUGUUUUAGUUGGUAUCAGAGCGGCCACUUCUAAAGGAUAGUGUGCACGCCAUCUCAUCAGGAACUCGGCUACUUCCGCCUACAAAUUUGAUGGGGCAAUGGGAGCUACUUGAAACAACACAUCAUUCUUUUAAGAAGAAGAAAGGCAAUGAGGAAGAAAUGUCUAGCUCUUAUGGUAAAGGACGGUUUGGCAGUAAGCUCUAGCGAUGAGGAGAUAAACAUUAGUGCAAGGGGAGCAUCACUCAAAAACAAUGUGAGGAUGACUUCUAGAAUAUGCCAGACAGCCCUCGGAUGGAGUAGACGAGGAGGCGGGAUAGACGCAUGGCACUGUUCGGUUGUCUAGGAGUGCAGAGCAUACUGGUUUCAUUGAGGGAACUUUUCUUUCCUUAUCAUUCGUGAGAGGAGAAUUGGGGGUUAUUAUUUUUAUUCAUUAAAUCCUUGUUUGACACGAUCAUUUCCUAUGAGUAAGAUAGUUUUCUUGUA